UACGUAGGGUGCAAGCGUUAAUCGGAAUUACUGGGCGUAAAGCGUGCGCAGGCGGUCUGUUAAGACCGAUGUGAAAUCCCCGGGCUUAACCUGGGAACUGCAUUGGUGACUGGCAGGCUUUGAGUGUGGCAGAGGGAGGUAGAAUUCCACGUGUAGCAGUGAAAUGCGUAGAGAUGUGGAGGAAUACCGAUGGCGAAGGCAGCCUCCUGGGCCAACACUGACGCUCAUGCACGAAAGCGUGGGGAGCAAGCACGAUGAUA
rnacentral:rRNA from 1 species